UUGGAACCAUUCCGGUAUCAGUCGGACAGAAGCUGCAGCGGGCAAUCUUUUUGUUUACAAGAUAAGAAUUGUUUUGGUUUGUUUUGUUGGUGUAUAGUAGAUUUCAAAAUGCCUUGCAAAUGUUGUGGAAAUGAUUGCCGUUGCACUGCCGAUUGUGGACCACCCAAGCCCUGUGGAGCUGAGUGUAACUGCAGCUGCAAGCAAGAUUCGGGCAAGUGCUGCUGCCAAACUGGAACUUGCAAGAAGUGAGAUGCGCCAGGUUGUUACCACAUUUGAUCGGUCAUAUUUGAGUUUUAAGUAAAAUUUAAUAAUGGUUUAGAAUGAAAAAUCAAAAUUAAUAAAUGAACAAAUAACAUA